CAACCGGUAGUCUAGCCCGGACAAGGAUGUGGGCCUUUCGAGCCCAUGACCCGGGUUCAAAGGCGGAGAUCCGCCGUAUACAUCCCGGCCGGGGCACCA
rnacentral:tRNA from 1 species